rnacentral:lncRNA from 1 species
CUAGAGAUACAAAAAUCAGCCAGUGUGGUGGCCCAGGCCUCUAAUCCCAGCUACUCGGGAGGCCCAGGCAGGAGACUUGCUUGAACCUGGGCGGCGGAGGUUGCAGUGAGCCGAGAUCGCACUGCUGCACUCCAGCCUGGGUGCCAGAGCAAGACUCUGUCUCAAUAAAAAAAAAAAAGAUAGUAGUUACAUUAUUUUCCCCAUUUUUAGACAAGGAAACUGAAGCAUAAAGAGCAUAAGUUGCUAGUGUCAUUCAGUGAGAAAGGCAUGGAGCUGGGAUUUGGCCCUAGGCAGUCAAACUCCAGACCGUAGGGCCUGUACUCUUAAUCAUACUCUCCCUCAUUACAGUAAGGAUAAGGAUGCUUCUGUUUUCUGUGGGAUGUGUUUUUUGUGUACUAUCAACAAUUUUUCCUCUGUAGGAAAUUGCCAGUGCUCUGGAUGCAAAUGGAUUUUUCCUUAGGAAUUCAGAGUUGCUGAGUUUUGCAUCAAGACUGAAAGAGGCCAAAAAGAGAAGCUGUGUGGUAAGCAGGGGCAGUUAACCAAUCCCUGGGGUACAUGUAAGCAUUUUGAAAAAGAUUAACUGUGAGUCAACAUUGCAGUAAAUUUAGUUAUAAAAUCAUGAUUAUGUAUGCAAAUAUGUGUCAACAGGUAGGACUGUGUGAUGACUCAUCCUACUCAAAAUUCUCUAGACUCGGUUUGUGCAAUAUUGGAUUCUACAAUGCUGAGCAAGGGAAGAAAAGUGUUUAAAGGAGAGCCACAAAUAAGAAUAUAUAGGUUGAAUAUAAACUUUAUAGAGCCUGAAUAGAUUGGAAUGGAAUAGAUGGAGGCUUCACACUCCUUCCCACAUGCAUUGUCCUAUGCAUCUCUUCAUCUGGUGUUCAUCGGUAUCCUUUGUAAUAUCCUUUAUAAUAAGCUAGUAAAUGUGAGUACAGUCAUGUGUCACUUAAUGAAGGAGAUACAUUUUGAGAACUGUGUUGUCACCAGGCGUGGUGGCUCUUGCCUGUAAUCUCAACACUUUGGCAGGCUGUGGUGAGAGACUUGCUUGAGCCCAGGAGUUUGAGACCAGCCUAGGCAAAAUAGUGAGACUCCAUCUCUAUAAUAAAUAAAUAAAAAUAAAAAAGACGAUUGCACUGUUAGGCAAUUUUGUUAUUGUGCAAACAUCUUAAGAGUGUCCUUCCACAUAGCUAGAGGGUAUAGCCUACUACACACAUAGGCUAUAUGGUAUAUCCUGUUGUCUAGGCUGCAAGCCUGUACAGCAUGUUCCUGUACUGAAUACUGUAGGGAAUUGUAACACAAUGGCAAGUGCAGUUAACAAUGGAACAACUAGAGGAUUAGGGGUUUGACACCCACACAGUCAAAAAUCCAUGUAUAACUUUUGACUUCCCCAAAACUUUACUAAUAGCCUCCUGCUAACUGGAAGACUUACCAGUAACAUAAACAGUUGAUUAACACAUUUAUUAUAUACUGUCUUCUUAUAAUAAAGCUAGAGAAAGUAAAAUAUUAAGAAAAUCCUAAGGAAAACAUAUUUACCGUACUGUACUGUAAUUAUCAAUACUGUAAAUUUAGGGUUAGUUAAAUGCCCCUCCAUUUCCAAAAUGAGUCAGCUGUCUGAAAUGGCAGGCAACUGCAGCUACAGACCUCAAUCAAAGUACUUAUCAAGCAAUUCAACUUUUUCUCGUAGUGUCAUUUUUUUCUCUGCUUCUUGGGAGCAUUUCUAGCAUCACUGGUGGCACUUUGUAUGGGGCUCAUGGUGUUAUUCAAGGUUUAGGGUAUUGCAUUAAACAUGAUGAAAAACGCGAGAAGUGUGAGAGAUCACUUUUUACUGCAAUACGCAAUUUACUAGAGCCAAGAACUGCUUGUGUGGAGAUGAUUAGCUCACAGGGUGUUUUAUGUGGAUACUCUCAACCCUUGAGUUCUGCUGUAAUAGCAACAGGAGGUGGUUACAAACUUAUUUCAGUGGAACAGUAGGUACUACAGUUAAUUUUACGCAGUUGUUUGUUUUAAUUAGUUAAUUAGACAAUUUUUGUUCUUUCCAUAGCUUUAGUGGUACAAGUGGUUUUUUGUUACAUGGAAGAAUUGUAUCCUGGUGAAAUCUGGACUUUUAGUAUAGCCAUCACCUGAAGAGCACACAUUGUACCCACUAGCUAAUUUUUCAUCAGUUACGGUUUAACAGUGCAUUUUUAGAUUUUUAAAUAUUUAUCUAGACUGCAAAUGGUACAAUGUAUGGUGUGUGUUUGUGUGUAUAGGUUUUGAUAAAUUUUAACUUUUUUAAAUAGAUUUAUGUAUGGUAGUAAAUGAUAGACUAGUAUCUACAUGUAUUUUAUGUACUCUUCACAUACCUUUAUUUUUUUUGAUAUUUCUAGUCUAUGAGGUUCAUCUGGUUUUUCAAAUUGUUGCAAAUCUCCAAAAAAUUUUCCAAUACAUUUAUUGAAAAAAAAUCCAUGUAUAAAUGGACCCACACAGUUCAAACCCAAGUUGUUCAAGGAUUGACUAUUUGUCUAUCUAAACAUACCUAAACAUAGAAAAGGUACAGUAAAAAUACAGUAUUAUAAUCUUAUGGGAUCACCAUUGUCUAUGCAGGCUGACAUUGAAAUGUCAUUAUGUACAGCAUGACUGUAUAGUGUUUCCGAGUUCUGUGAGCCUCUCUAGCAAACUAAUGGAGCUCAAGAAGGGGUUAUGGGAACCCUAACUUAUAGCUAGUUGGUUAGGACCCUUGGUCACCAUCUGGGGCUUCUGAUUGUCAUCUGAAGUGGGAGCCAUCUUGUGGCACUGAGCCUUCAACCUAUGGUAUCUGAUGCUAUCUCCAGGUAGUGUAAGAAGUGAAUUGAAUUAGAGGACACCCAGCUGGUGUCUGCUGCAAAAUUGCUUAUUUGCUUAAUGCGUGGGGAACCCCCCUCCACACACAUCUGGAGUCAGAAGGGUGUUGUGAGAUUAAAGUGGGAGAAACUGAAUUUGUUUAUUCCUAUAUUCAGAAUGGGGUCCUUGAGAACAUCAUAGUGGUAAGCAUAGAUGUUCUAAAGUCAGACUGCCUGGGUUCAUCUCUCUGCUCCACCACUUCGAGAGUUACUUUAGCUCACUGUGCUUCAGUUUCCUAUUAAGUUGGGAUAAUAAUACCAUCUCAUAGAGUAACUUAAGAAUUAAAUCAGUUAAUAUACAUAAAGCACUUGGAAGUGUUUGAAGCAUUAAUAAACACUCAAUAGCUAAUAAAAAAUAGAAAAGGGUGAGGAACAACUUAAUACAUAUUCAAAUAUAUAUUAUAGAUCUUUUCCAUAUUUGUUGUAGGGAAAAUAAGAGGAAGUGUAUUUAAGCUCUGAGAGAUCUGGAUUUUAUCAAAUUAAAAAAAAAGAGGGACUAGAUAAAACAUUUACCCAUUAAGAAACAUAAUUAACUACUCAGGGUGAAUAUUUCUAUAGAGGGCUGUAUAGCAUGCAGUAGAUUCUGUAAUUGAGUUUAGCCUAAGAAUGGUAUUCUCUAAAAGUGGGAAAACAAUCCCUAGAAAAUCAAGUUUGAUCUAGUACAUGGCCACCUACCACCUCACUUGCCCAAGAAACAUACUGAAAACUAAAGCUUGGUGUUCUAUUGAGGGAAUUACAGCAAAUUAACAAGUGCUGAUGUAUGUUAAAAUAGUACCCGAAGUUUUGACAACUAUCUUCCUGGUUUAGCCUAGAGAAACAGAAGCAAUGGGAAGAAAUCACAUUUGUAGUAGACCCAUGACCAGGACUCAGAUUUUAAAACUUAAAAUGUUUCCAUUACCUUGAAUUUCCCUUCGUUGGGUUUUUUAAAAAGCUAAAAUGAAAUGCCAUUAAUGACAUAGCAUGGCAUUACAUAUAGAAGGUCUUUAUAUAGUUGAAGAAGUAUUCAGUUGUCCUUUAACAUAUCAGCCCACUUCUUGGCCUGACCUCAGGACACAGCCCUACCACAACCCAAACUCCUGGUCCCUGUUAAAAGGGUGACCUAGGAAGCUAUGCUUUAUCAUAUAUUCUUCUCAGGAAUCCUUCAUACACUGAAUUGAGCCAUUAAUGUCAUCUUUUUGGCAUUUAAGUCACAAAGGGGAAGUUGCUAAUUGGGUAGCAGCAAUAGAGAGACAGAGGGAAUGGCUGCUGGUCUCCAAAUGAAAACAGUCUUCACAGUUCCUGUAUUUUCCUUUUCCUGGAGUCUGAGAUGUAUAUUCUUGCAAUCUUCACCCCAGCCCUCUUUUGCUCAUUUCCUGGUUGGACAGGGUUUUUAUUCUCUACAAUCAAUUUCUGACCAAAUAUGUGUGGCUCUACUUCAAACUAAAAGUCAACAUAUUGACAUGCAGAGAUAGGAAUUUAGUCUAUCACUUUAUGCUUAGUAUCUGGGGAGAAGAUAUAUGAGCUAAACAGAAGAAAGAGAAAUUUUCAGCACUUCUACAGUCAAUCAAAUCUGGUCAGUUCUAAUUCUCGAAUAUUUUUCUUAUCCAUCUUGUUCGUACAUCCAUAGCCAUCUUUUAUCUGAAUUAUAAUACCCUCUUAGGCAACAGAAAAAGAUGGAAGAAUACUUGCUAGCUAUUUUUAGAAAAUGCAAAUGCCAAAUAUCACUGUGGAAAGACCUCACAGCUUCCCAGUCUUUUCCCUUGAUAUUCCACCUUUCCCUUGAGGACCUGUAAUGAUCACUGUCUCUAUCAGAGAAGUGCAUUUCCCUUCCACGGCGUAGAUUGGUCCUCUUUGUUUUUCCUUAUUCAUAGCAUUGCUAAACCCAGAUGAGUUAUAUACAACUUUUAGAUAGGGCUUAGGCGUAAUGGGGGAUGGGGGUGGGGAAAGCAAAUAAAACACUAAGAUGCAACUUACCUAGCUAUAAUUAGGUAUGGCUUGCUCUUUUUAUUCAAUAAAUAUUUGAGCAUUCUGUGAUUGCCACGGUGCAUAUAUUGAUGACACAUCACUGCUUGCAAGAUGCAUGUGGUAGCAGGGGUAUGCUAAUGCUGCCACAGGGUAAUAAAGGAUAAAUCAGAGUGUGGAGCACCUCAGUCACUUUAAAAUGCGCAGGAAAGUCUGUGUUCUCUCCUUUUAUCUGGAAGAUUCACCAGUCAUUUGAGCCCUUUGAAGUGACUCAUUCAACCCCCAAAAUGGUUUGGCUGGACACUACCCAGUUUUGGAUAAAAGGACAGGAGCUGGCUUCAGCUAGCAGUUUGCAGAGGUUUUCUUUCAUCAGGGGUAUCAUUGGUUAUCUUGUAAUGCUUGCGAUGAAUUUUUCCAGCCUCUAAUUCACCCAACCCAGGAACUCCUCACGCUGCUGGGUUUUGUAACAAUAAAGGUCUUAUUGUUUAAGCUACCAAAAAAAGAAAAAGAAAAAAGAAAGAAAGAAAGAAAGAAAGAAAAAAAACAGGAGGCACCUAAAAUAGUAUCUGGGGGAAGGGAAUUAUGAAAGAUUUCACUGAAGUGCUGCCCUAAGAAAACGAAGACUUUAAGGACAAAUAAAAAUUAGCAGAACAUGAGAUUGGAGAAAGCGAGAGGGCAGGAAAUGAAGUAUUCCAAGAGUCUAAGAAUGUGCAAAAGACAAGUGAAUGAUGUGUUUAGGAAAUUGCAAGUAGUUCAUUAUGUCUGGGGUGUAGAGUACAAAGGGGUUCUUCUGUUUAUGCUCAGGUGACAGGAACUAGUUUCUCUACCACCCACAAGGGUCCUUAAACACACAAGGAAUUCUCAGAAUCCAGGCCAGAAAGAGGGCAUUCAAGGGAGGAAUUUCCUCCUUUUCCAGUCAAUGGCAGCCUUCUCAGCUUGGUUUUCCAGGCUCAGGAACCCCAUCUUUGGUGGUUAAUGCCAAUAAAAUCCUCUUCCUUAGGGAAAAACACUAUCCUCUUAUACCACAAAAUUUUACUACAUGAUCUUGAUAAGGACAAAAUAGCAGAAUAAUGCAUUAUCUUUACGUAUUUAAUGUAACUGCUUGUUUACACUGCCAAAAGAAAGGCUACUUUCCAUAAACUUGAGAUCAUAGGGAAACUGGAUAUUAUACUUUUAGCUUAGGCGUUAACUAAUGGUACAAAGUAUGUAAACCCCUAUCACUUCUAAAUGGCAGUUCACUGAAUGAAAAUCAGUUUACUUCCAAUUUUUGUUUUGAGGAUUAGAGGUUUAGAAAACAUCUUUAAAUAUUAAAAAGUCAUUAAAACAAGGGAAGCAAAUUAAGUUUCAAAUUAAGUUACUGUGGUUUUCCUGGGCCACUGUUGUCAGCCAGUUACAAUGUGCUCCAUUUCUCUAGACCCUAGCUCCUAUUCUGAAGCUGGUAUCUUACUUAAAUUUUCCUUUCUAGGCCAGGCUCCGCGGCUCAUGCCUGUAAUCCCAGCACUUUGGGAGGCCAAGGCAGGUGGAUCACCUGAGGUCAGGAGUUCAAGACCAGCCUGGCCAACAUGGUGAAACUCCGUCUCUACUAAAAAUACAAAAAAUUAGCCGGGCAUGGUGGUGUGAACCUGUAAUCCCAGCUACUCGGGAGGCUGAGGCAGAAGAAUCACUUGAACAUGGGAGGCGGAGGUUGCAGUGAGCCGAGAUUGCGCCACUGCACUCCAGCCUGGGCAAGAGUGAGAUUGUCUCAAAAAUAAAAAAAAUAAAAAAUAAAAAAAAUAAAAAAUAAAUUUUCCCUUCUAAAAGGAUCACAGUAACAUGAAUAGCAAAUAGAACAUUUUAGGCAGCAAUUAUCUAAAACGUGGAUGCUCUUGAGCAUGCAUUCUCAAUGGGGGUGAAAAUUGGUUCAUUGGGGACAAAAAAAAAUUCUAUUUUGUAUAAAGCAAAAAACAUUUACAGUCCAUAAACAGAUACAUAGUAUAUAUCUGGUGUUGAAAUAUCAUGGGGAAGGGGUGACUAAGAAAAAAAUCUAAAAAAGUUCUUCAGGGAGGUGAUAAAGAAAAGGUUAAGAAGCCAGGUGUAGUGACUUAUGCCUGUAAUCCCAGCUACUUAGGAGGCUUAGGCAGGAGGACUGCUUGAGGCCAAGAGUUCAAAAACAGCCUGGGCAAUAUAGCGAGAUCCCAUGUCUACUUAAAAAAAAAAAAAAGAAAAGCUGCUGUGGAGAUUCUUUUGCUAAGUCAGGAAUAUCUAACUUAACUGUAUUUUUAAAAACCCUAAGUGCCGAGAUAAAAUGGAAAGUUACGGCUAUUCCACUUCUAACCAAUGUACUUGCAAAUGGCUCCAGUUCUUUGAUUUUUGUUUCUCCUAGCCAGAGUUGCUACAAUUGUUCAAGGAAAAUACUUGGAUUUCUUUUUUUAAAGAUGAUAAAUCAUUAAGUUUAUAACACAUAGAGAGUAUAAACCAAGAAAGUAAAUUUAUUUAAAUUACUAAAAUAGCUUUUAAAGUCAUUUACAGAUCAGCUGCUAUAAUUAUUUUUCCUGAAAGACAUAGGUAACAUAUUACUUUUAAAUUACUUGGGUCAAUGAAACAUUUAAUAAAAACAUUUGUUUCUCUAUAUAAUACGUAUGUAUAAAAUAAGCCUUUUCAAAAACUCUGGUUUUCAUAAUCCUCUAUAAAUCAGAUGAUCUGACUUCUAAGAGGAACAAAUUACAGUAAGGGGUAUACAUUUAUGAAUACUGGUAGUACUAGAGGAAAGACGUUAAACCACUCUACUACCACUUGUGGAACUCUCAAAGGGUAAAUGACAAAGCCAAUGACUGACUCUAAAAACAAUAUUUACAUUUAAUGGUUUGUAGACAAUAAAAAAACAAGGUGGAUAGAUCUAGAAUUGUAACAUUUUAAGAAAACCAUAGCAUUUGACAGAUGAGAAAGCUCAAUUAUAGUAGUUCUUUCAAAAAGAGCU